AUGAAAGUAAAUCACUCACUGCUCUUGACUGAAUUACUUUGAAGUUUUAACAAGAAUUUAUCCAAAGUCAAUCCAAAAAUCAGAUAGAAUUGAUUAUAUUGUUUUACUAGUGGUGAAAUUGAUUUAAAAAAAAAAUUAAUUAGGGACCUGACCAUGUUUUGCUUAAGUGUUUCUUUCUUUAAUUGCUAAUGCAACCUUUUCACACAACAGACUGAACCAAAUUAAGCAUUGCUUGGUAAUUGUUCAACAAAAGGAAUUUGUUCUGACACAGUUUAACUCUGAGUUCUUGUCAUAUUUUAUUACCAAUUUCUUAACUAUAACAAA